UGGAUAUCUGCCUUUUGGUUCGGAAUAACCCCGGGAAACUGGGGCUAAUACCGGAUGGUUCCUUCGGGAUAAAGAUUUAUCGCCAAAAGAUGAGUCCGCGUACGAUUAGCUAGUUGGUGAGGUAAUGGCUCACCAAGGCGACGAUCGUUAGCUAGUCUGAGAGGACGAUCAGCCACACUGGGACUGAGACACGGCCCAGACUCCUACGGGAGGCAG
rnacentral:rRNA from 1 species